UACGUAGGGUGCAAGCGUUGUCCGGAAUUAUUGGGCGUAAAGAGCUCGUAGGUGGCCUGUCGCGUCGGCUGUGAAAAACUCGGGGCUCAACUCCGAGCUUGCAGUCGAUACGGGCAGGCUAGAGUUCGGCAGGGGGAGACUGGAAUUCCUGGUGUAGCGGUGGAAUGCGCAGAUAUCAGGAGGAACACCAAUAGCGAAGGCAGCUCGCUGGGGACGUUACUGACACUGAGGCGCGAAAGCGUGGGAGCGAACAGG
rnacentral:rRNA from 1 species